GCUACUACCGAUUGAAUGGUUUAGUGAGGACUCCUGAUUGGCGCCGCCGCCCCGGCAACGGAGCAGCGGACUGCCGAAAAGUUGUUCAAACUUGAUCAUUUAGAGGAAGUAAAAGUCGUAACAAGGUUUCCGUAGGUGACCCUGCAGAAGGAUCACGAUCGGAAAAGACCACACCUGACCUCCAGUCCCGUGGCCUUAUCUCGUCUACCGUCUUCUGAUUGCACCAACAAAGUACACCUAUACACAUACACACGCUAGUGCUUUACAGUCCAACGUU
rnacentral:misc_RNA from 1 species